AUGGGUGCAAAGAGGAUUGGACUCAUUGGCAUUCCACCAAUUGGAUGUUGUCCCUCGCAAAGGAAACUUGGAUCAAGAGAAUGUGAGCCCAUGCUAAAUCAAGCGGCGGAACUAUUCAAUUCUGAAAUAGAAACGGAAAUUCAUCGGUUAAAUGCUGAAAAAACUAUUCAAGGCUCCAAGUUUAUUUAUCUUGACAUAUACUACAAUCUGCUUGAGCUCAUUCAGCAUCCUGGUUUUUAUGGAUUCAAGGAGGCAACCGAAGGAUGUUGUGGCAGCACCCUGCUAAAUGCAGCAAUAUUUGUUAAAAAUCAACAUGCAUGUCCAAAUGCUUAUGAUUAUAUUUUCUGGGACAGCUUUCAUCCUACUGAAAAGGCCUACAACAUUGUGGUUGAUAAACUAUUUCAAACAACGAUGCAGUAUUGA
rnacentral:rRNA from 1 species